rnacentral:rRNA from 1 species
UACAGAGGGUGCAAGCGUUAAUCGGAAUUACUGGGCGUAAAGCGCGCGUAGGUGGUUUGUUAAGUUGGAUGUGAAAUCCCCGGGCUCAACCUGGGAACUGCAUUCAAAACUGACAAGCUAGAGUAUGGUAGAGGGUGGUGGAAUUUCCUGUGUAGCGGUGAAAUGCGUAGAUAUAGGAAGGAACACCAGUGGCGAAGGCGACCACCUGGACUGAUACUGACACUGAGGUGCGAAAGCGUGGGGAGCAAACGG